rnacentral:rRNA from 1 species
UUACUAGAGUAGCACUCGCAUAUCAAUAAGCGGAGGAAAAGAAACUAACAAGGAUUCCCUUAGUAACGGCGAGUGAAGCGGGAAGAGCUCAAAUUUGAAAUCUUCAAGGUUCUACCUUGACGAAUUGUAGUUUAUAGAAGUGUUUUCUGUUAGUGGAGUGGCAAAAGUUCUUUGGAAUAGGACAUCAUAGAGGGUGAGAAUCCCGUAUUUGGUCAUUCCUCCUAGCGUUGUGAUACACUUUCAACGAGUCGGAUUGUUUGGGAAUGCAGUCCAAAAUGGGUGGUAAAUUUCAUCUAAAGCUAAAUAUUGGCGAGAGACCGAUAGCGAACAAGUACCGUGAGGGAAAGAUGAAAAGAACUUUGAAAAGAGAGUUAAACAGUACGUGAAAUUGUCAAAAGGGAAGCGUUUGACACCAGUGUUGUUUUUCCGAAAAUCAAUUACGAAUGUUUUGUUUUUAAGGAAGUUAUGACUUCAUCGGCUAUGCUCCUUUCUUUACGAAACUUUCUUAAUGCACUUUUCGGUUAACAAGUCAACAUCAAUUUCUUUUGUUGUAAAAGGGUAUGAGGAAGGUGGCUUUCUUUUCGGAGAAAGUGUUUAUAGCCUUGUACCUCUGCAAUCGGAGAGAUUGAGGUCUGCAGCGUAGAUCCUUCGGGGUUAGAUACAGUUAGAUGCUAAGUUAUAGCUUUUUCAUAGACAACUUGUUGACUAUAAUUUAAUCAUUGUAGCUUACUCGCUUAUGGCUAUUUUACCUACGCUUAGGAUGUUGAAGAUGUAGCACAUCAU